rnacentral:rRNA from 1 species
AGUGAACGCUGGCGGUAGGCCUAACGCAUGCAAGUCGAACGGCAGCACAGUAAGAGCUUGCUCUUACGGGUGGCGAGUGGCGGACGGGUGAGGAAUACAUCGGAAUCUACUUUUUCGUGGGGGAUAACGUAGGGAAACUUACGCUAAUACCGCAUACGACCUACGGGUGAAAGCAGGGGAUCUUCGGACCUUGCGCGAUUGAAUGAGCCGAUGUCGGAUUAGCUAGUUGGCGGGGUAAAGGCCCACCAAGGCGACGAUCCGUAGCUGGUCUGAGAGGAUGAUCAGCCACACUGGAACUGAGACACGGUCCAGACUCCUACGGGAGGCAGCAGUGGGGAAUAUUGGACAAUGGGCGCAAGCCUGAUCCAGCCAUACCGCGUGGGUGAAGAAGGCCUUCGGGUUGUAAAGCCCUUUUGUUGGGAAAGAAAAGCAGCAGGUUAAUACCCCGCUGUUCUGACGGUACCCAAAGAAUAAGCACCGGCUAACUUC